rfam:Trichobilharzia regenti genome assembly, scaffold: TRE_scaffold0065997
AUCCAGUUUACCAGUCCCAAAUAGGACGAAAUACGCAUCCUGGCUGGAU